AGGUCAAGUAGAAAAGGGCGCACGGUGAAUGCCUAGGCACUAAAAGCCGAUGAAGGACGUGACGAACUACGAAAAGCUUCGGGGAGCGGUAAGUACGCAGUGAUCCGGAGAUGUCCGAAUGGGGGAACCCAAUGCAGCGAUGCAUUAUUGGUUGAUGAAUAGAUAGUCAAUCAAAGGAAUACGCAGUGAACUGAAACAUCUAAGUAGCUGCAGGAAGAGAAAGAAAAAUCGAUUUCCUUAGUAGGCCCCGUAAGCGAAAUUGCAAGCGCGCCUAGCAGAAUCCUGAGUAGGCCGGGACACGAGAAAUCCCGGUUGAAACCGCGAGGACCAUCUCGCAAGGCUAAAUACUAAUUAGUGACCGAUAGUGAACCAGUACCGUGAGGGAAAGGUGAAAAGAACCCCGGAAGGGGAGUGAAAUAGAACCUGAAACCGUGUGUCUACAAGUAGUCAAAGCACAUUAAAGUGCAAUGGCGUGCCUUUUGUAGAAUGAACCGGCGAGUUACGUUAUCUAGCGAGGUUAAGUCAGAAAAGACGGAGCCGGAGCGAAAGCGAGUCUGAAUAGGGCGAGAAGUUAGGUGACGUAGACCCGAAACCAAGUGACCUACCCAUGACCAGGCUGAAGGCGUGGUAAAACGCGCUGGAGGGCCGAACCCACGUAAGUUAAAAAUUGCGGGGAUGAGUUGUGGGUAGCGGUGAAAUUCCAAACGAACUUGGAGAUAGCUGGUUCUCUCCGAAAUAGCUUUAGGGCUAGCCUCGUGGAGAGGAUAAUGGAGGUAGAGCUCUGUUUGGACUAGGGGCCCGUCAGGGGUUACUGAAUCCAGAUAAACUGCGAAUUCCAGAUAUCCAUACACGGGAG
rnacentral:rRNA from 1 species